rnacentral:rRNA from 1 species
UCNUACGGGAGGCAGCAGAGGGGAAUNUUGGACAAUGGGCGGAAGCGNUCCAGCAACACGCGUGUGUGANGAAGGCCUGCGGGUUUAAAGCACUUUCANUGGGGAAGAAAAGCUCGGGUCUAAUACCUCCGGCCCUUGACGUUACCCCCAGAGGAAGCCCCGGCUAACUCCGUGCCACCACCCGCGGUAAUACGGAGGGUGCAAGCGUUAUUCGGAUUUNCUGGGCGUAAAGCGCACGCAGGGGGCUGUGUCAGUCGGAUGUGAAAGCCCCGGGCUUACCCCGGGAAUUGCAUUUGAUACUGCNCGGCUAGAGUAUGGGAGAGGGAAGUGGAAUUCCCGGUGUAGCGGUGAAAUGCGUAGAUUUCGGGAGGAACCCCAGUGGGGAAGGNGGCUUCCUGGCCCAAUAUUGACACUCAUGUGCGACAGCGUGGGGAGCAAACACGAUUAGAUACCCCGGUAGUCCCCCCCCUAAACGAUGAGAACUAGAUGUCGGGAGGUUAGCCUCUCGGUGUCGCAGCUANCCNCC